rnacentral:rRNA from 1 species
UAUACAUGCAGUCGAACGAGAUUAAGGUGCUUGCACCUUAUGAAAGUGGCGCACGGGUGCGUAACGCGUAUGCAACCUACCUUAAUCAGGGGGAUAGCCCGAAGAAAUUCGGAUUAACACCGCAUAAAAUCACAGGACAGCAUUGUCCAAUGAUCAAAUAUUUAUAGGAUUAAGAUGGGCAUGCGUGUCAUUAGCUAGUUGGCGGGGUAACGGCCCACCAAGGCGACGAUGACUAGGGGAUCUGAGAGGAUGGCCCCCCACACUGGUACUGAGACACGGACCAGACUCCUACGGGAGGCAGCAGUAAGGAAUAUUGGUCAAUGGAGGGAACUCUGAACCAGCCAUGCCGCGUGCAGGAAGACAGCCCUCUGGGUCGUAAACUGCUUUUAUUCGGGAAUAAACCUACUUACGUGUAAGUAGCUGAAUGUACCGAAGGAAUAAGGAUCGGCUAACUCCGUGCCAGCAGCCGCGGUAAUACGGAGGAUCCAAGCGUUAUCCGGAUUUAUUGGGUUUAAAGGGUGCGUAGGCGGCUUAUUAAGUCAGGGGUGAAAGACGGUGGCUCAACCAUCGCAGUGCCCUUGAUACUGAUGAGCUUGAAUACACUAGAGGUAGGCGGAAUGUGACAAGUAGCGGUGAAAUGCAUAGAUAUGUCACAGAACACCGAUUGCGAAGGCAGCUUACUAUGGUGUGAUUGACGCUGAGGCACGAAAGCGUGGGGAUCAAACAGGAUUAGAUACCCUGGUAGUCCACGCCCUAACGAUGAAUACUCGCUGUUAGCGAUAUACAGUUAGCGGCUAAGCGAAAGCGUUAAGUAUUCCACCUGGGGAGUACGCCCGCAGGUGAAACUCAAAGGAUGACGGGGC